rnacentral:rRNA from 1 species
CCAGCUCCAAUAGCGUAUAUUAAUACUGUUGCAGUUAAAACGCUCGUAGUUGAACUUAGAAUUAUUACAAGUUGUUUUACUUGAUUGUAAAAUGCUUGCUUAAUUCUUAUCUACUGGAAACUCUACUCUGUACUUAAUUGUAUGGAGUAUCGCCUAGCCAGCGGAGUUGUGGUUAAUUAGCUCCUGUCAUUGUAUCAAGGUGUAAAAACCUGAAGUAUGAUUAUGGGGUCAAGUUAAUUGAUUAUAAUGGGGUGCCAGUUAAUUUACUUUGAGUAAAUUAGAGUGUUCAAAGCAGCCUCUUGGGGCUUUGAAUAGUUUAGCAUGGGAUAAUAGAAUAGGAUUGGAUUCCUAUUUGUUGGUUUAAUGAAUCCAAUAAUGAUUAAGAGGGACAGUUGGGGGCACUCAUAUUAAGUGGUUAGCGGUGAAAUGUGUUGACCCACUUAAGAUGAACUAAAGCGAAAGCAUUUGCCAAGGAUGUUUUCAUUAAUCAAGAACGAAAGUUAAGGGAUCGAAGACGAUUAGAUACCGUCGUAGUCUUAACUAUAAACUAUGCCGACCAGGGAUAUGAGUAGUUUAUUUCUGAUUCGCUUCGGUGAGUCAGAUACUUCUCCUUAUGCACCUUGUGAGAAAUCAUAAGUUUUUAGGUUCUGGGGGAAGUAUGGUCGCAAGGCUGAAACUUAAAGGAAUUGACGGAGGGGCACCACCAGGAGUGGAGCGUGCGGCUUAAUUCGA